GCCGGGGUGGCGGAACUGGUAGACGCGCCAGACUCAAAAUUUGGUGAUGGUGACAUCGUGCCGGUUCGAUUCCGGCCCUCGGUACCA
rnacentral:tRNA from 1 species